rnacentral:rRNA from 1 species
AUGCACGCUGGCGGCGUGCCUAAUACAUGCAAGUCGAGCGAACAGACGAGGAGCUUGCUCCUCUGACGUUAGCGGCGGACGGGUGAGUAACACGUGGAUAACCUACCUAUAAGACUGGGAUAACUUCGGGAAACCGGAGCUAAUACCGGAUAAUAUAUUGAACCGCAUGGUUCAAUAGUGAAAGACGGUUUUGCUGUCACUUAUAGAUGGAUCCGCGCCGCAUUAGCUAGUUGGUAAGGUAACGGCUUACCAAGGCAACGAUGCGUAGCCGACCUGAGAGGGUGAUCGGCCACACUGGAACUGAGACACGGUCCAGACUCCUACGGGAGGCAGCAGUAGGGAAUAUUCCGCAAUGGGCGAAAGCCUGACGGAGCAACGCCGCGUGAGUGAUGAAGGUCUUCGGAUCGUAAAACUCUGUUAUUAGGGAAGAACAAAUGUGUAAGUAACUAUGCACGUCUUGACGGUACCUAAUCAGAAAGCCGCGGCUAACUACGUG